rnacentral:rRNA from 1 species
GACAGAGGGUGCAAACGUUGUUCGGAAUUACUGGGCGUAAAGCGUGUGUAGGCGGCCUUGCAAGUCGGAUGUGAAAGCCCCGGGCUUAACCCGGGAAGUGCACUCGAAACUGACUUGGCUAGAGUAUCGGAGAGGUUGGUGGAAUUCUCGGUGUAGAGGUGAAAUUCGUAGAUAUCGAGAGGAACACCGGUGGCGAAGGCGGCCAACUGGACGAAUACUGACGCUGAGACACGAAAGCGUGGGGAGCAAACAGG